AUGCAGCAGAGGGACCAGAAACCCGCCCAGCACCGGCCCUGCACCCCAGGCGGAGCCUUCGAGCCCCUCGGCGGGGGGUGGGGCGGGGAGUUCACGUCUCAGGGGCCCCGCUACCAACUCCUAGGACGUGGGGCUGUGGGCACAGCCACAGCCACAGGAGCCACAUGCACAGGGAGCAAGAGCAGUCAGGCCGGGGGCACUGCCUCCCCAGACCCCGCCCAUGCCCGCACCACGGCCCCGUCGGUCUUCCCGCUGUCCAACAAAUGUGGCACCACGUCCGGCUCCACGGUGUCCCUGGGCUGCCUGGUCUCUGGCUAUUUCCCGGAACCCGUGACUGUGACCUGGAACUCGGGCUCCCUGACCAGCGGGGUGCACACCUUCCCACCCGUCCUCCUCUCGGGCCUCUACUCUCGGAGCAGCAUGGUGACGGUGCCCGCCAGCUCGUCCGGCCAGACCUUCAUCUGCAACGUAGCCCACCCGGCCAGCAGCACCAAGGUGGACAAGAUCGUGCCUGUAAUUAAAGAAUCCGAUCCCAUCUGCCGGCCUCAUACGUGCCCACCUUGUGAGAACCCGGGAGGGCCCUCGGUCUUCAUCUUCCCCCCGAAACCCAAGGACACCCUCAUGAUCUCCCGGACGCCCGAGGUCACGUGCAUGGUGGUGGACGUGGCCCCGGAUGACCUCGAAGUCGAGUUCACCUGGUACGUGGACAAUGAACAGAAGAGCAAGGAGACGGUGAAGGCGCAGCAGCAGCUGUUCAACAGCACCUACCGCGUGGUCCAUACCCUCCCCAUCCUGCACCAGGACUGGCUGAAGGCCAAAGUGUUCAAGUGCAAGGUCAACAACAAGGCCAUCCCCUCCCCCAUCGAGAAGACCAUCUCCAAGGCCACAGGGCAAGUCCGGGUGCCGCAGGUGUACGUCCUGGGCCCACAGUCGGACGAGUUGGCCAGGGACAAGGUCAGCGUGACCUGCCUGGUCAAAGACUUCUUCCCGCCGGACAUCAGCGUGGAGUGGCAGAGCAACGGGCAGCCGGAGCCCGAGACCAAGUACUCCUCGACCCCGCCCCAGAAGGACCAGGAGGGCUCCUUCUUCCUGUACAGCAAGCUCACCGUGGACAAGGCCCGGUGGCAGCGGGGGGACCCCUUCACGUGCGAGGUGAUGCACGAGGCCCUGCACAACCACUACGCCCAGAAGACCGUCUCCCGGAACCCGGAGCUGCUCCUGGACGAGAGCUGUGCCGAGGCCCAGGACGGGGAGCUGGACGGGCUGUGGACCACCAUCUCCAUCUUCAUCACCCUCUUCCUGCUCAGCGUGUGCUACAGCGCCACUGUCACGCUCUUCAAGGUGAAGUGGAUCUUCUCCUCGGUGGCCGACCUGAAGAGGACCAUCGUCCCCGACUACAGGAACAUGAUCGGACAAGGGGCCUAGCCUCGCUCCCAGCAAGCGGCUAGCUGCCCGGACCCGCCCGCCGGUCCACCUGCUCCACCUGCUGCAACGCCUGCUCCUCCGCCCUCUGACCUCGCUGGCCUCUGACCUCUCCACCCUGGGACCACAGGCCCCCCUGAGCCAGCACCCCCGCCCUCUGGCCUCACAGCCAUCACAGGCUGCGUCCCGCCCGGGACCUGCCCCUUUGUAGAACCAAGUGGACAGCAGGUUCUGCUCCCACCUGAGCUGACAGAUGCCCGCCGGCCCCUCCACGCAGCCACCAAAACACCGCCCGGGUCGUGUGGCCACCAAGGCCUCCGGGCGGCGUGUCCCUCCCCAGGACGUCACUGCCUGGGCCGCGUGCGAGUCCGUCCUGAGGGGCGGAGGCCCGGCGCCCAGUGUGUGGGCAGCAGCAGGAGACAGGGCUCCCGGGAGGUGCUAAGUCCCCCCGGGAAGCUCCCGUGGGCCCG